GAUGACGAUGGUGGUGAGGACUCUGGUGAUGGCGGCCGGACCACCACCGACACCACCACCACCACUGCUACCACCACUACAACCACCACCACCACCGCCAGCCCAGGGCCUUCGACCAGCCGUGGCUCGGGUGCCUUCGGACCCUCUCCGCCCAGGCCUUCGACCAGCCGUGCCUCGGGGGGUGCCUUCGGACCCUCUCCGCCCAGGCCUUCGACCAGCCGUGCCUCGGGGGGUGCCUUCGGACCCUCUCCGCCCAGGCCUUCCACCAGCCGUGCCUCGGGGGGUGCCUUCGGUACUACCUCUCCGCCCAGGCCUUCCACCAGCCGUGCCUCGGGGGGUGCCUUCGGUACUACCUCUCCGCCCAGACCUUCCACCAGCCGUGCCUCGGGGGGUGCCUUCGGUAUCUCUCCGCCCAGACCUUCCACCAGCCGUGCCUCGGGGGGUGCCUUCGGUAUCUCUCCGCCCAGGCCUUCGACGAGCCGUGCCCCCUGGGGAUUUUUUUCGCGCCGGUCCGGCUCAAACGUCACCGACUUGUCGUCUAAGAGCCUGGAUUUCACGUGCAUGGACUUUAGUUUGUCACCCAAGACGACGUCUAGCACCGCGAAGUCUAGCACCGCGAAGUCUAGCACCGCGAAGCCUAGCACCGCGAAGUCUAGCACCGCGACGUCUAGCACCGCUGGCACCGCGACUACUGGCAUCCUGACUAGCACCCCGAUCCGGACCACAACAUCCACUACAACCACCCAGCCUACCCGCACUACGACGACCAGUGCCACUAAUAGUGACCACUGCAUGGGUUCACCACCUAAGGCUUCGGGUAAGCGGCGGCGGGACGACGACGACGACGACGAUGAGGAGGAGCAGCCGCGCGCGCCAACCCCAACCCUUCCUCCGAAGCGGCGGCAGCGGCGCGAUAGCGAGGAUGAUCCGCCCGCUCGCCCUCCCCUUCGCCGGUCGGUCCGCGUGACAAGGCAGCCGCAGCGGUACGGCGUUGCCGCCCAGUAACACCACCACCACCACCACCACCACCACCACCACCUCCACGCAAACUAUGUAUUUGAGAGGUUGCAUGUUAGAUGGGGUCACCUCUUGGAGGAUACUUUGAGUAAACUAGUUGUGUGGUUCAUGGAACGUGGAGUUUCAGAACAAAGAUCAAGACUCCCAUUAGUUAAAGGAUUUUAUGUUGUUAUGUUAAUUCUGUUCGUGUAUCAGUUUUUGAUGUUCGAACUUGAGCUGGUGCUCUGGCACAGCUAAACUAGAUUUAGCUGAUAAUAAGAAAUAUUGAAUGUAUAUCUGGUUGUAUAUUGGAUGCGAUCACCUCCUGGAGGAUUUUUAUGUAACUAGUUGUGUGGUGGAUGGAACAUGGAGUUUCAGAACAAAGACUCGUAUUAGUGCAAGGAUUUUAUGAAGUUGUUGAUCCUAUCCUUCUAUCAGUAUUUGAUGCUCCACCUUGAGCUUGUGAUCUGACACAGUUAAAAUAAAUUUAGCUGAGUUGGAGUAAAAUCUUGAAUAUUGCUCUGGUUGCUUCUUAAACGCGACCAUGUCUUGGAAGUUGCCUUCAGGAAAAUGGAAGCUUGAAGGAAAGACUUUUCAGAAGUGUAAGCUUAUCAUAAGCUUUGAUUGAAAGGAAGUUCUUGAUUGUUAUCACCUUUUAAAAUUCUUUCUCUUGGUAUUGAGGAAGCUCUUCAGAGAGCUUGAAUUAGGAGGUUGUUUUAUGACAGUGUAGCUAAUAUAAGGGCCAUAUGCAGAGAGUUCUGAGGUUGAUGGAACGUGUCGUUUUAGAACACUCAGACUUCUAAUGCAGGAUUUUAUGAAGUUGUUGAUCCUAUCCUUGUAUCAGUCUUUGAUGCUCACACUUGAGCUUGUGAUCUGACGUAGUUAAAAUAGAUUUAGCUGAUUCGGGGAAGAAUAUUGAAUAUUGAUUUGGUUGCUUCUUAAACGCGACCACGUCUUGGAGGUUGUCUUGAGGAAAGCGUUAGCCUCAAGGAAUGACCUUUCAGACUUGUGAACUUAUCAUAACCUUUGAUUAAGAGGACCGUAAUGAUUUUGAAGGUCCAUCCUAGGUGUUCGUUUUCCUGUUAACGCAUGAGUAGAAGCAAGAUAAAGAAAGCCACAUGUUCUUUGAAGUAAAGAUUAGGACAUAAGGCUUUGCCAUUUGAACCAAAUGGCAUACUCAGAUCAUAAUGGUUAAAUAUGUGCAUUCAUCGCAUGAACUGUCAUGCUUGUCAAGACAGAUCAGAGACUUUGGCGAACUCUGUACUCCAGAGUUGGGUGUAGUGAAGUGAGAAGCAGUCAUCCAAGAGUUGAGUCCUGGCUGCUUCAAUCCAACCUGUGAAGAGAGUGGUGGAUGCGUCUUGUUGACCAGCUUGUAAGCCAUGUGCUUGACCCUCAUUUGUUCUAUUGUGAGUAAGAAUAUAUCCCAGUACUGUAAAUUCUGAGAGCGUGGCGGACAAGAGUUUCAAGUGUCCUUGCCAAAACUGCACAUUUGUGCACUUGUUGACCAAGUUCUAUAUUAUAUGUUUAUCUUCUGAAUCAAUUGCGUUAUGAGCUUGCGCUUAGUUAUUGUGUUUGGCAAGAGGUCCCUUCAAUACUGGCUCUUGUUAAUGAUUGACAAUGGCUUUUGAACUAUUUUCCUAAUUUCUGGAGCAUUUGCUAACAAUUGGAUGUAUUAUACCUUGUAGGUAACUUGCCCAGAAUUUCCUUUGGAUCAGUCUUUACUUGAAAAUUCCAAGUCAAUUUUUGUUGCUUAUUUGUUGUGUAUUGUGAAGUGCACCACCAUAUUCAAACAGAGUCUCAAAUUUAUAGUUAAUAUUGACAGUUUGUCCUGUUGCCCUCUUGAUCUGCUGAUGUGUAGCAGAAUGGCAGGUUCGUUUUGUCACAAGUUUUUCACUCAUUGAGCAUUAGAGUAUGGAGAAUUCACAUUCCGUCCAUUUUCCUUUCCCUCAUUCGAAACCCUUAAGAGCAGUGCAGUAUUCAUAUCUUGUUUCUUAGUGCCCAUUCCAACAGUGUUCAAGCCUUUCUUCAUUUCUCUCUUUCAAAGAAAAGCGCCUUGGUUGUUACAACCGUUCAAGUUAAGGAUAGAUGGAGAUUUGUUGACUCGCUUGUCUUAAACUUAAUGAUAGUAUCCGUGUGAAAGGGCGCCAUUUCUCAUGGAUACUCUAAGCAAAUUUUUUGGAAGAACAUGAAGUUGUAUUAAGAAUGAAUGAAUGAAUGAAUGUAUGUGCUAGUCUGGUGAUAACAUGUGUGAGAGGUGGUGGUGGUAUUAGUCACACAGCUUGGGGCCCCCUGUGUUUAGAUGGUGGGAGUUCAUAGUAUUUUGUGUGCUUCAAUGUUCUUCCGAAAAUUUGUAUGUGAACAGCGAGUUGAAGCGGGAAGCAGGCAGGCGCGGAUUUGGGGGAGGGGUAAUGGGGGUAAUCCCCCCUCGCUCAUGUACCGGAAGGGAAGGGCCCGCAAUCGCCGCAAUCGCCUGGAAGGCAUGUAACAGGCACUACUUUGCCCCUGUAUGCAGGCAAGAAGCACUGCCUCACCCCCUCCUUGGGAAAACCCCGGAUCCGCGCCUGAAGUUAGGAGAUUGAUUACCCAGAUUAUACAAUUGCCAAUUUGGGCAAUCCAUGUUGCAAGGAUAGUAUUUGAGCCCUCAUCUAUUGAUUGGAGGGAAAAUUCAGCAGAGUAUAAGAGUGAAAGCACAGACUCUGUGUCUUCCUCUCAAGCCUGCAUUGAUCAUGUCCCAUAGAAUCUCUCAACAUGUGGCAAAUGGAUGCGGCGCGCUUACUGCAUUCGUGUGUUCGUACCUGUGUUACUACAAGUAACAUAUUGAAGCCGAUGCUUCAUGAAGGCUCUUUUCUUUAGUAAAGCAGUUUUCGAUUGUCCAGUUUACAAUUCUUCCGUUUCCAUAAUAUAGAUUUUGACAAUUGUCCAUGGGCUGAACACCUCGUCCUCUUUCUAGCUCCGAUAAUCACUUUCUACCUGUCCAAUGUCUCUCUCACUUUCAAGUCACUGCGUCACAAAACCUCAUUGAUUCACUCGCAUUUGUCCCUUUUGCCUACGUCUUCAUCCUUUUUGAUGAGUGAGCGUAAUUCAUUGAUUUUCUUAAUAUUUGGCCUGCCAAUGUGACAAUAGCAACAAGCCCCCUAUGAAUUUCGACUCUGUUUGUUUAUGACACGUCUUAGCUUCCAAUGGCUCUAAAGUGCACUGUUUAAAUUUUAGUUGGCUGCUUCAGAGAGGGCACAGAUAUGCUUAGUUUUCUCGUAAUUAUAUGUGCCUCUGGAUUUCAAGUGUAAAUUCUGAUCUGGAAGAUAUAAACGGGCAAGCAUUGAAUACUAUACAAUACAAUGUAAUAAUGUUGUAAAAGCCAGUUACAUGAGCCUUUGUUGAUGCCUUUCUUCCAUUCACUUUGAUGCUAGUGUUUGUCAACUGCUCAUGCUUGUUGAUAGGCAGUUUCAUUUUAUUUUGAAAUGUUAUGUGCGCAAGUCAGACAGGAAUGUUUUGGUGUAUGAUUAGCCGUUACUUUUCACAUGUUACUUAUUAUUCAAUUAUUUAUGAUGCUGUGAUGUUUUUGGAUCUGGAGUUCUGAUGUGAAGUUUCAUUCAAUUGGGAACUAUGUUUGUGGCAGAAGUGUGUCUUACGUAUAUCACUACUUCAAUUGUUUCUUUAAUUUGGGUUUCACUGUUUGUAUUUUAUGCUCCAUUACAUCAGUGAGUAGAAGUUUGUUAUCAUCCUUACCAAUUUGCAUGUUUAUUGUUUUUGUUGUUAAUUGUUAGCUUCUCUUGUUUGUGUUGUAAGUUCUGUAUCAUCUGAGAUAGGAUUUGUUUGUAGAUAUAAUAAUAGGCAACAUUAAGUAUAUGUAUUUUUGUUACAAUGCAAUAGCAUAUUUUUAAAGAUUAUAUGGUGUAUAAUUGAUAAAGAACAGAAAGAAAGAAAUAUUGUUACAAAAUAAUGUUAAAGUAACAUAAAAAAUUGUAAAAAAAAAAAGAAGGUAAAAAUAAAGUGUUAAAAAAGAUUUAAAAAAAAGAUACAUAAGUUAAAAAAAAAAGUUUUAAGAGUUGAAAAAAGGAAAAAAGUAUAAUGAAUCAAAAGUAAAACAAAAGAAACAAAUGUUAAAAAAAUAUUUUUUUAAAAUGGCGGAAUUAAAAAGAAAGUGAAAUGUUAAUUUUUGAAUUGCAACUUGAACACAGCUUGACGCAGAACACUCGUUAAUUGUUAAUCACUUCGUGAGAGUUAGUUCAAUUACAUUUGUGUCUCUCCAGUGGUAUGAAACUCAAAUGGAAAGAAGCUGAAGCUUUGCAGUUGCUGUUAUCGCCUAUGAGAUGCCAAAACCCGUGAGUCCCAGGUCUUAACAACCUGGUCAGGUCACUAUGGUAUUUUGGAGCCAUGUGGAAGGUGGUGACUGGGCUGCCUUAUGGAGGGACCUUGAAAAGUCGACAUCAGAAGAGUUGUUGUUGAUGAUGAAGGUAGUGAGAAGUAUCGAAGACCAGCUGUUGUUGGCGUUGAACCUCUUGAUGUCUGAAGAAAUCCUACCUGUAAUAUGCUAGAGACAAUAUGGAGCCAGCUUUUGCUUCGUAAUGAACCAUUUGAGAGGCUGCUCUGUUUGCUAAUGAGUUCGUUUACAUUCCUGGUUGGGUAACUUUCAAUUCAAAUUGCAUUGAAAUGCCAGCCCUUUUUUUAGAAGUCUGUGGAAGGUCUGAUUAUGACAUGGAAGACCCUCUGAGUUCAAGAUGUUGCUGACACCUCAUGGUGUGCUUGGGGAUUUAUCUAAAUAUCGAGCUUCAAUACUGAGAAAACCAGUAUUUGGAUUUGAUAUCUAUAGAAGCUAGAUCAAUGAAGUGGUGAUGAUUUUUGAAACUGUGACAACAUAUUUUCUCGUUUGUGGCACAACCUCUCAUCAUUUUGUGAGUGAUUUAUUUGUGCUCAUACCGUGGUAUGAAGCUGAAAUCGAAAGCGGCUGAAGUUUCUGUUGCUGAUCCUCAAGAAGGUGCCAAAGCUCAUUGAGUUCUACAAGACGUCCGGCUCAGCUAUGACAGACGUGGAAGAAACGCAAUGAAGCUCACCAAGUUGAAGGACUAAGCUACGUAGCACAUGAUCCUACCCAGCUUACCGUAUCGCCUCGUUGAAGAGGUUCGCAGCGGCAUGUCCGAAGUCCCAUCGGAGUCUCGUGGCCUCAUGUAUUUCCCUGUACAUGCCGCUGGAAGAAGAAAGGACUCAUCCUUCACCGGAUAUACUCACUCUUCGUUCGCGUCCCGCGCAGCGAUGACACACCUGCGCAUCGCCUGUAUGAUGGCAGCGCUUGCAUCAUGCACAUUGGCUUCCAGGUCGGCCCUGCAAGCAGAACGGACAGUGGGCCGGGGGCAGCCGCCGCCAUGGCUAGCUGACCCCGCUUGACGUGGUUGUCAAUGGCCGACUGCAGCGCCUCCUCCAGGUUGGGGGGUGCCUCCCCCGGGAGUGGAAGGUCGCUCAAGUUGGUUCCGCAGUACGCCCGAAGAUACCUCGAAAAGUUGUUGUAUUGAGCAACAUGUAAGGAACGCAUUGUGAUCGAAUUGUGGGCACGACCGCCGGAUGUGGAAGGACCUGUGGCGGAACGUGUUCAAGGGCUCAGCGCAGAACUCGCACCGCAUCUUCCCUGGUGUUGGCGCAUAGCCAGGGAGAUUCGCCGUGGGCAUCCAUUCGCCUUCAGCACCGGAGACGUCCACCUCACAGGUGGCGAUGAGCUCGUACACCUCUGUGAGAGACCCCCAUCUCCACAACCUGGAUGCCAGGGAAACGGUCAUACUCAAAUUGCUGGCGCCGCACAUAGGACUCCUCAACAGACCGUCCUGCAUAACGAAAGGGAAAUGUUUAGCACACUGUUCUUGGACGGACAUGCCUUGCAAGUGAUGUACCCUGACACUCCAGCGGCAACACCAUGCCUUUAUGGUUUGUCACUGCAGUAAUGAAGCAGCAGCUCACAAGCCAAGGCCAUUGUUUGGUUGUGCGUGGCCUGCUUGUUCAUGAGCGGAAAAGUGUCCGUUUCUGUAAUUCGCAGCACCAUUAACAUUUUGACCUAAAUGGCUUCUGACAUCUCAGUGAUUAUUUAUUUGUUUUUGCUGUGGUGGUCAAAAUACAAAUGUCACGUAGUGAGAGGUAGUACAAGUACAUUUCUGUCUCUAUGGUGGUAUGAGACUCAAAUGGAAAGAAGCUGAAGCUUUGCAGUUGCUGUUAUCGCCUAUGAGAUGCCAAAACCCGUGAGUCCCAGGUCUUAACAACCUGGUCAGGUCACUAUGGUAUUUUGGAGCCAUGUGGAAGGUGGUGACUGGGCUGCCUUAUGGAGGGACCUUGAAAAGUCGACAUCAGAAGAGUUGUUGAUGAUGAUGAAGGUAGUGAGAAGUAUCGAAGACCAGCUGUUGUUGGCGUUGAACCUCUUGAUGUCUGAAGAAAUCCUACCUGUAAUAUGCUAGAGACAAUAUGGAGCCAGCUUUUGCUUCGUAAUGAACCAUUUGAGAGGCUGCUCUGUUUGCUAAUGAGUUCGUUUACAUUCCUGGUUGGGUAACUUUCAAUUCAAAUUGCAUUGAAAUGCCAGCCCUUUUUUUAGAAGUCUGUGGAAGGUCUGAUUAUGACAUGGAAGACCCUCUGAGUUCAAGAUGUUGCUGACACCUCAUGGUGUGCUUGAGGAUUUAUCUAAAUAUCGAGCUUCAAUACUGAGAAAACCAGUAUUUGGAUUUGAUAUCUAUAGAAGCUAGAUCAAUGAAGUGGUGGUGAUUUUUGAAACUGUGACAACAUAUUUUCUCGUUUGUGGCACAACCUCUCAUCAUUUUGUGAGUGAUUUAUUUGUGCUCAUACCGUGGUAUGAAGCUGAAAUCGAAAGCGGCUGAAGUUUCUGUUGCUGAUCCUCAAGAAGGUGCCAAAGCUCAUUGAGUUCUACAAGACGUCCGGCUCAGCUAUGACAGACGUGGAAGAAACGCAAUGAAGCUCACCAAGUUGAAGGACUAAGCUACGUAGCACAUGAUCCUACCCAGCUUACCGUAUCGCCUCGUUGAAGAGGUUCACAGCGGCAUGUCCGAAGUCCCAUCGGAGUCUCGUGGCCUCAUGUAUUUCCCUGUACAUGCCGCUGGAAGAAGAAAGGACUCAUCCUACACCGCACAUACUCACUCUUCGUUCGCGUCCUGCGCAGCGAUGACACACCUGCGCAUCGCCUGUAUGAUGGCAGCGCUUGCAUCAUGCACAUUGGCUUCCAGGUCGGCCCUGCAAGCAGAACGGACAGUGGGCCGGGGGCAGCCUCCGCCAUGGCUAGCUGACCCCGCUUGACGUGGUUGUCAAUGGCCGACUGCAGCGCCUCCUCCAGGUUGGGGGGUGCCUCCCCCGGGAGUGGAAGGUCGCUCAAGUUGGUUCCGUAGUACGCCCGAAGAUACCUCGAAAAGUUGUUGUAUUGAGCAACAUGUAAGGAACGCAUUGUGAUCGAAUUGUGGGCACGACCGCCGGAUGUGGAAGGACCUGUGGCGGAACGUGUUCAAGGGCUCAGCGCAGAACUCGCACCGCAUCUUCCCUGGUGUUGGCGCAUAGCCAGGGAGAUUCGCCGUGGGCAUCCAUUCGCCUUCAGCACCGGAGACGUCCACCUCGCAGGUGGCGAUGAGCUCGUACACCUCUGUGAGAGACCCCCAUCUCCACAACCUGGAUGCCAGGGAAACGGUCAUACUCAAAUUGCUGGCGCCGCACAUAGGACUCCUCAACAGACCGUCCUGCAUAACGAAAGGGAAAUGUUUAGCACACUGUUCUUGGACGGACAUGCCUUGCAAGUGAUGUACCCUGACACUCCAGCGGCAACACCAUGCCUUUAUGGUUUGUCACUGCAGUAAUGAAGCAGCAGCUCACAAGCCAAGGCCAUUGUUUGGUUGUGCGUGGCCUGCUUGUUCAUGAGCGGAAAAGUGUCCGUUUCUGUAAUUCGCAGCACCAUUAACAUUUUGACCUAAAUGGCUUCUGACAUCUCAGUGAUUAUUUAUUUGUUUUUGCUGUGGUGGUCAAAAUACAAAUGUCACGUAGUGAGAGGUAGUACAAGUACAUUUCUGUCUCUAUGGUGGUAUGAGACUCAAAUGGAAAGAAGCUGAAGCUUUGCAGUUGCUGUUAUCGCCUAUGAGAUGCCAAAACCCGUGAGUCCCAGGUCUUAACAACCUGGUCAGGUCACUAUGGUAUUUUGGAGCCAUGUGGAAGGUGGUGACUGGGCUGCCUUAUGGAGGGACCUUGAAAAGUCGACAUCAGAAGAGUUGUUGAUGAUGAUGAAGGUAGUGAGAAGUAUCGAAGACCAGCUGUUGUUGGCGUUGAACCUCUUGAUGUCUGAAGAAAUCCUACCUGUAAUAUGCUAGAGACAAUAUGGAGCCAGCUUUUGCUUCGUAAUGAACCAUUUGAGAGGCUGCUCUGUUUGCUAAUGAGUUCGUUUACAUUCCUGGUUGGGUAACUUUCAAUUCAAAUUGCAUUGAAAUGCCAGCCGUUUUAUUAGAAGUCUGUGGAAGGUCUGAUUAUGACAUGGAAGACCCUCUGAGUUCAAGAUGUUGCUGACACCUCAUGGUGUGCUUGAGGAUGUAUAUGAAUAUGCUACUUAAAGCUGAGAGAACUGGUAUUUGGAUGUGAUGUCCACGUAAGCUACAUUAAUGAAGUGGUGGUGAUUUUUGUAACUGUGACAACAUAUUUUCUCGUUUGUGCUGGUUUACACCUUAUCACUUUGGGAGGUUGCGAGCUCACUUCAUUGUGAUUAUUUAUUUGUCGAGCUAGCUUAGCAGAAUUGAUCAAAAGCAACGGAAGAUCCUCCGACAACAGCCCAGACCGUCAUACACUAAUUGAAGUUAAGGUUAUUGAUGGAUUAGGACGGGAGGCUUUGCCAUUUGAACCAAAUGGCAUACUCAGAUCAUAAUGGUUAAAUAUGUGCAUUCAUCGCAUGAACUGUCAUGCUUGUCAAGACAGAUCAGAGACUUUGGCGAA
rnacentral:misc_RNA from 1 species